rnacentral:rRNA from 1 species
AGCGAACGCUGGCGGUAGGCCUAACACAUGCAAGUCGAACGGCAGCACAGUAAGAGCUUGCUCUUACGGGUGGCGAGUGGCGGACGGGAGAGGAAUACAUCGUAAUCUACUCUUUCGGGGGGGAUAACGUAGGGAAACUUACGCUAAUAUCGCAUACGACCUACGGGUGAAAGGAGGGGAUCUUUGGACCUUGCGCGGUUGGAUUAGCGGAUGUUGGAUUAGCUAGUUGGGUGGGUAAAGGCCCACCAAGUCGACGAUCCGUAGCCGGUCGGGGAGGCUGAUCGGCGGCACUGGAGCUGGGCCAGCGACCAGACGCCUACGGGACGCAGCAGUGGGGAAUGGUGGACAAUGGGCGCAAGCCUGAUCCAGCCAGCCCGCGUGUGUGGAGAAGGCCUUCGGGUUGUGAAGACCUUUUGUUGGGAGAGAAAAGCAGCAGGUUAAUACCCCGCUGUUCUGACGGUACCCAAAGAAUAAGCACCGGCUAACUUCGUG